rnacentral:lncRNA from 1 species
ACAGUUCAAGCUAAAUACUAAAAUGCUCAAUUAUGGCCGAUCAAACAAUUAAAUUACAAGAACUCAAUUCAGAUUACAUGGCUUAUAUAAAACAAUUAAACACAUUAAGAUGCCCUUCUUCUUUUCCUGGUGGGAUUCACAUUUGUUUGUCCAUUAAUGAUACGAAACGAUGGAUUAAUCCAAAUUCCCUCAUCAUGAUCAUCUCUAAGAUAUAAACCAUCAUCAGUUGAAUCAAUU